AUUGAACGCUGGCGGCGUGCUUAACACAUGCAAGUCGAACGUGAAAGUCCUUCGGGGCGAGUAAAGUGGCGCACGGGUGAGUAACGCGUGGAUAAUCUACCCUUAAGAUGGGGAUAACGGCUGGAAACGGUCGCUAAUACCGAAUACGCUCCCGAUUUUAUCGUUGGGGGGAAAGAUGGCCUCUGCUUGCAAGCUAUCGCUUAAGGAUGAGUCCGCGUCCCAUUAGCUAGUUGGCGGGGUAACGGCCCACCAAGGCGACGAUGGGUAGCCGGUCUGAGAGGAUGACCGGCCACACUGGAACUGGAACACGGUCCAGACUCCUACGGGAGGCAGCAGUGGGGAAUAUUGCGCAAUGGGCGAAAGCCUGACGCAGCGACGCCGCGUGAGGGAUGAAGGUUCUCGGAUCGUAAACCUCUGUCAGGGGGGAAGAAACCCCCUCGUGUGAAUAAUGCGAGGGCUUGACGGUACCCCCAAAGGAAGCACCGGCUAACUCCGUGCCAGCAGCCGCGGUAAUACGGAGGGUGCAAGCGUUAAUCGGAAUCACUGGGCGUAAAGCGCACGUAGGCGGCUUGGUAAGUCAGGGGUGAAAUCCCACAGCCCAACUGUGGAACUGCCUUUGAUACUGCCAGGCUUGAGUACCGGAGAGGGUGGCGGAAUUCCAGGUGUAGGAGUGAAAUCCGUAGAUAUCUGGAGGAACACCGGUGGCGAAGGCGGCCACCUGNACGGUAACUGACGCUGAGGUGCGAAAGCGUGGGUAGCAAACAGGAUUAGAUACCCUGGNAGUCCACGCUGUAAACGAUGGGUGCUGGGUGCUGGGAUGUAUGUCUCGGUGCCGUANCUAACGCGAUAAGCACCCCGNCCNGGGGAGUACGGUCGCAAGGCUGAANNUCNNNGAAAUUGNNGGGGGCCCGCACAAGCGGUGGAGUAAUGGUGGUUUAAUUCGAUGCACGGCGAAGAACCUUUACCCAGGCUUGACAUCUAGGGAACCUUCCGGAAAUGAAGGGGUGGCCUUUCGGGGGAGCCC
rnacentral:rRNA from 1 species